GACGAACGCUGGCGGCGUGCCUAACACAUGCAAGUCGAACGGAACUUCUUUAAAGGAUUUCUUCGGAAUGAAUUUGAUUAAGUUUAGUGGCGGACGGGUGAGUAACGCGUGAGUAACCUGCCUCUGAGAGGGGAAUAACAUUCUGAAAAGAAUGCUAAUACCGCAUAAUAUAUAUUUAUCGCAUGGUAGAUAUAUCAAAGAUUUAUCGUUUAGAGAUGGACUCGCGUCCGAUUAGUUAGUUGGUGAGGUAACGGCUCACCAAGACCGCGAUCGGUAGCCGGACUGAGAGGUUGAACGGCCACAUUGGGACUGAGACACGGCCCAGACUCCUACGGGAGGCAGCAGUGGGGGAUAUUGCGCAAUGGGGGAAACCCUGACGCAGCAACGCCGCGUGAAGGAUGAAGGUCUUCGGAUUGUAAACUUCUUUUAUUAAGGACGAAGAAAGUGACGG
rnacentral:rRNA from 1 species